UUAAGUUCAGCGGGUAGUCCUACCUGAUUUGAGAUCAAACGGUCAAAAUGUGUCCUCGCUGAGGAGAGACGUUUAUGAGCUCCGGCGAACCUCCAUUGCUGAAGGUUACCUAGUGGGAAACCACAAGCGUAGAUAGUUAUCACACCUGUGACGCCACCAAACACCGGCGAGCUAAUUCAUUUAAGAGGAGCUGGCUCACA
rnacentral:misc_RNA from 1 species